rnacentral:lncRNA from 1 species
GUAAUUUCCUCUGAAGAUUGUUAUUGGACUUCAAUCAGGAACGGUGCAGUAUUACAUCUCAAUUUAUAUAGACUUUGUUUUUGUUCUUGAAUUCAAAGUCCACAUUCUACUUAUAUUACAAGUGGCGGAAAGAUAAGAAAAAUGCCUCUUCAAUUGUAUCGAAAAGUAAUACAAACUAACACGGAAAUUUCUGAAAAUUCAAUAUUUAUCUUUUUCUUGGAAAAUUAUUAAAAUGUCUAUACAUUAAAACCUUCGAACUGCAUAGAUAAUUUAAGAUAAACGCACAAAAAAUCAAAAAAAUAUGGACAUACAAUUGAAAAAAACGUGCAACACAUUGUCAUCAAAUGAAUAAUGUAUGCAUGUACAUUGUUAAAGAAAGUUCUACUUAUAAGUAACUCUCUUGCACUAGUCAAUUCGGAAUAAUCAAUACUAGUGGUACUGCAUGGUGAGCACUUUAUGUCCAAUCAUCUUAUUGUUUGC